rnacentral:misc_RNA from 1 species
AAAGUCGUAACAAGGUUUCCGUAGGUGAACCUGCGGAAGGAUCAUUAACACGUAUCCAACGUUAAAACCCCCCGUGAAUAUUAAUCGUGCUCUUGCAGCCUCCCAACAAAGCAAUCUCUGGUAAAUCACGUCGAACGGUUUGAUUCAGAGACCUCUGGGUUGGUGAUGACAGCUUUUGCGAUUGCUGCAAUCGAGCGCUAGGAUCAGUGGUUUGGUUUCCCCUCAAACCACUUCAAUGAAUGUCAGUGUCAUUGAAGUGUGAUGGGGAGGUCGCAUAACGCACGCUGUAGGCCCACACGGGCCGGCGUCCAAAUCACCGGGCGCAAGCCCCCCUAAAACCACAUGUCAGCGUAGGCCCUUCUGUCGUGGUUGGGUGUAAAAACGAACAACUGUUAACAAUGGAUAUCUUGGUUCUC